CAAAGGAGACAUCCAAAACAUGGAGUGUUGGUAAUCCUCCAGGAACGUGGUUGAGAAACACUGGACUAAAAGACUCAAAACUAUUACCUCAAGAAGUAUUUUAAUAAAAAGGUGUGCUUUUUUAAGCUAAAAUCUAAAAUAAUAACUAAAUCUGCAAAAACUGCAUUGUAAAACCUGAGAACAGUGAACAUUACUAAAUGAAAUAAGUUAGUUUAACUUAAUAAUUUAAAUAAGUUACUUUGACCUUAUGAAAGAGUUUCAGAGACUCAUAAACUGAUAAUAUUAUGUAGAACUCAAAUGAGUUAUGAAUGAGUUAAUCACAUUUUGUGUGUUACCUUAAAUGCUAGAAGCAAUACCAAGCCAGCUGAGUAGCUAGUUCUUUGGACUUAAUUUGUUCUUUUUACUGAACUUGAUUUGAUAACUGAACUUAAAAUGUUUAAGUAACUUAUUCUCUAAACAUUUGAUGAUAUCAACACAAAUAGAUGUUUAUAACUAUUUUUUUGUUUUACAAGUUUACAGUACUCCAAGUUUAGUUCUCUUACAGUACUAAACCAUUUUGUUUCGAAACUUAAGUGGUUUGCCGCAAUCAGUUUCCUCAGUUUAAGUUAACUUAUCGGGUAUUGCAGUGUACAUACUAAAUUUAGAAAAGUAAUUCAAGCAGUUGUUUAAAAUGAAAAUUUUUACAUUUAAAUUAUUUUAAAUCAAGAAAAUAGAAACAGUUUGCAAGUUCUAAGUAUGUUCUGGAUAUGUUCCGGUUUAUUUCUGGUUUUGUUCUGGAUUUGUUUGCAUUUAGUUAUUGUUAUGUUCUGGGUUUAGUUCUGGCAAGAUAUUAAUAAAUCAAUCGCCUAACUGACACAUUCAGUGUGUUAACUUACAACCGAUAUCCCUAAUGUUCAUAUAUUUUUUAUAAGACAUUCCAGCCUUUGUUUACAUGAAUUGCCGCUAAGACUUGUUAUAACAUAAUGUUAUGCGUUUUUCAUCGCGAAGCCCACUGACCGGAAGUUCUGUGCGCGCCCUUUUGUCGCCUGAAGAGAGCGCGCGUAAGUCUUCCGCGAAUCCUAUUACGCUUCUAGUAACCAUUUUAAUAUCAUGUAUAUCCCGCUCUUUAUUUCUCAUUCACUCGUGUUUUUAUCACGUGUAUACUUAGCAUUAGGCUAUAAACAUGGUGCUAAAUACCACCUGUAAAUACAGUAAUAUAUAAAUAUUUCAACACAAACAAACGGCACAGCUCGAGGAUUAACGUUGCCUUCUAGUGAACAAAACCAUGGCUACCCAAACACAAGAAGAACAACACGACGGCAGAUCACGGUUAUUGACUCAGUAAUUGCUCUUCAUUUCCUAUUUCUGCACUUGGAGCGGAAACAUUUCCCAGUAGUUCAGAAAAUACGCAGACGAUUAAGUGUGACGUAAAAGUGUGAAACGCACCCUUUCCUUCAUGCGU